rnacentral:rRNA from 1 species
UACAGAGGGGGCGAGCGUUGUUCGGAAUUACUGGGCGUAAAGGGCGCGUAGGCGGCCCGCUAAGUCGAACGUGAAAUCCCCAGGCUCAACCUGGGAACUGCGUCCGAUACUGGCAGGCUUGAAUCCGGGAGAGGGAUGUGGAAUUCCACGUGUAGCGGUGAAAUGCGUAGAGAUGUGGAGGAACACCGAUGGCGAAGGCAGCCUUCUGGGCCAAUACUGACGCUCAUGCACGAAAGCGUGGGGAGCAAACAGG